rnacentral:lncRNA from 1 species
GACAAGGGAGUGAAGCUCUUUGAAAUCCACAAGUAAAAUGUUUCCCAAAAGAAGAAAAAAGAAAGAGAAAAAAUAAAAAGAAAACGAAUUAGAGGGAGGAUGUAAAAAAAGAAAAUAGUAGUAAAAACUAAAAGAUAAUUAAUAAUCAAAAUAAGAUAAUAAAAUAAAAUAAAACUAAAUAAAGUAAAUAAUUAUCUAAACCUUUAAAACAAAACAAAAAUGGCCCCUCAAAACAUGCUUGAGGACUCGAACCCGGGACCCAAAGGCACACUAUCACACUACCAACCACCAAACUAGCAAGCUCAUUCUGUCACCUAAACAUGCAACUAAACACAAUGGCACAACCUACUCACUAACCCUAACCAUA